rnacentral:rRNA from 1 species
CCUACGGGAGGCAGCAGUGGGGGAUAUUGCACAAUGGGGGGAACCCUGAUGCAGCGACGCCGCGUGGGUGAAGAAGCGCCUCGGCGCGUAAAGCCCUGUCAGCAGGGAAGAAAAUGACGGUACCUGAAGAAGAAGCCCCGGCUAACUACGUGCCAGCAGCCGCGGUAAUACGUAGGGGGCAAGCGUUAUCCGGAUUUACUGGGUGUAAAGGGGGCGCAGACGGCGAUGCAAGCCAGGAGUGAAAGCCCGGGGCCCAACCCCGGGACUGCUCUUGGAACUGCGUGGCUGGAGUGCAGGAGGGGCAGGCGGAAUUACUGGUGUAGCGGUGAAAUGCGUAGAUAUCAGGCAGAACUCCGAUUGCGAAGGCAGCUUACUAAACUAUAACUGACACUGAAGCACGAAAGCGUGGGGAUCAAACAGGAUUAGAUACCCGGGUAGUC